rnacentral:rRNA from 1 species
AUUGAACGCUGGCGGCAUGCCUUACACAUGCAAGUCGAACGGUAACGGGCCUUCGGGUGCCGACGAGUGGCGAACGGGUGAGUAAUGCAUCGGAACGUACCUUUCAGUGGGGGAUAACGUAGCGAAAGUUACGCUAAUACCGCAUAUUCUGUGAGCAGGAAAGCAGGGGAUCGCAAGACCUUGCGCUGAUUGAGCGGCCGAUGUCAGAUUAGCUAGUUGGUGAGGUAAAGGCUCACCAAGGCGACGAUCUGUAGCGGGUCUGAGAGGAUGAUCCGCCACACUGGAACUGAGACACGGUCCAGACUCCUACGGGAGGCAGCAGUGGGGAAUUUUGGACAAUGGGGGGCAACCCUGAUCCAGCCAUGCCGCGUGAGUGAAGAAGGCCUUC